GACGUAGGGCGCGAGCGUUGUCCGGAUUUAUUGGGCGUAAAGAGCUCGUAGGCGGCUUGUCGCGUCGUUCGUGAAAACCUGCAGCUCAACUGCAGGCUUGCGGUCGAUACGGGCAGGCUAGAGUUCGGUAGGGGAGACGUGGAAUUCCUGGUGGUAGCGGUGAAAUGACGCAGAGUAUCAGGAGGAACACCGGUGGCGAAGGCGGGUCUCUGGGCCGAUACUGACGCUGAGGAGCGAAAGCGUGGGGAGCGAACAGG
rnacentral:rRNA from 1 species